GGGUAGGCAUGGAGAGGGCUCCCUGGAGGAAUACCCAGCUGAGGGAUGCCCAUAAAACGAUCACACUGAAGGUCUGGGUGAUGAGGCUGCAGGCUCAAGAACAACCAUAGUAGGGCUGAGUUUGACUGGGAACACAGGAUUAUCAGUCCUCAGCCUCUCAUCUCAAUAGCUUGAAUUUGUGCUUGGUCAUUGGUAACAUGGAGUAAAAAAAUGAUUGAAGUUUCUUCAGGGAUGUGUUUCUGCCUAUCCUCUGUCAGGACCCUUGAGACACCUUUGCUGUGAAUAAUGGAGAAGCAAAAGGAGUUACUAAUGAAGACAAACUAAACCUGAGAACAGAGAGAGCCUAACUAUGUGCUCCAGAAGUGCCAUGUGUGUCUAAGGACAUCAGCAAGAUGAUGAAAAGGGAGUUUUCUACUGUCAUUCCCCAAAAGAAGCAUCAAUUUUACAACUACUCAUGGACAAGAGUAUCCUUGUAGGAAUCUAAGAGUUUAGCAAAGAAGUUUCAGCACAUUCUCAGAGCAAAAAGUUUGAGUAUGCAUACGGAGAAGAGAAGAGAAUAAGAACAGUUGCACUUUACCUGCACUUUUUCUCCCCCAAGGUGUCACAGCUCAGUGCCAAGAGAGACCUCCUUAGCCCGUUUCUCCCAUAAAGGAAAGUGAGAGUAUAGUAAAUAAACUGUCAGUUCCCUGGCUGUGUGAGAUGCUGCCCAAUAGCCCCACCUCUUUUUUGUCUUACCCAAAUUACUGAGGUGAUCGGCACAGGUGAGAGAUUGGGAGAGGGUAGAACCAGAGAAGAGAGGCCGUGGACUCUCAUAAUUGCUCCAGUGGAUUCCAUGAGGAAGUUUGUCCAUGAGGCACUCGAGAUGUCUCACCUGCGGACACCACCAAUGGCCCAAGGCCACUGCAAAUGCAUUUCAUGCUUCUCCCACCGCCUGGAUGAAAGAAGGAUAGAAAAAAGGCACACAAACUGGAGCAUCUCAAAGCACUGCUCUAAUAGGUAAUAGAAAAAUAGGUAAGUGUCCAUUGACAGAUAAAUAGAUUAAGAAAAUGUGGUGUGUAUACAUACACAAUUCCAUUGUAUAUUUACACAAUGGCAUAUUAUUCAGCCAAAAAAGGAAGAAAAUCCUGUCAUUUGUGACAACGUGGAUGAAUAUGGACAAUAUUAUACUCUAUCAUAUUGUACUAUAUUAUAAUAAGAGAAAUAAGCCAGACACUGAAAGACAAAUACUGAAUAA
rnacentral:lncRNA from 1 species